rnacentral:rRNA from 1 species
GACAGAGGUGCCAAGCGUUAGGCGGAAUCACUGGGCUUAAAGCGUGUGUAGGCGGAUCGUUAAGUACCUUGUGAAAUCCCACGGCUCAACCGUGGAACUGCUGGGUAUACUGGCGAUCUUGAGCCACCUAGGGGCGAGCGGAACAAGCGGUGGAGCGGUGAAAUGCGUAGAUAUCGCUUGGAACGCCAACGGUGAAAACAGCUCGCUGGGGGUGUGCUGACGCUGAGACACGAAAGCGUGGGUAGCAAACAGG